GACGAACGCUGGCGGCGUGCUUAACACAUGCAAGUCGAGCGGUAAGGCCCUUUCGGGGGUACACGAGCGGCGAACGGGUGAGUAACACGUGGGUGACCUGCCCUCAGCUCUGGGAUAAGCCCGGGAAACUGGGUCUAAUACUGGAUAUGACUCCAUGACGCAUGUUGUGGGGUGGAAAGCCUUGUGCGGCUGGGGAUGGGCCCGCGGCCUAUCAGCUUGUUGGUGGGGUGAUGGCCUACCAAGGCGACGACGGGUAGCCGGCCUGGGAGGCGACCGGCCGACACUGGGACUGAGACACGGCCCAGACUCCUACGGGAGGCAGCAGUGGGGAAUCUUGCGCAAUGGGCGAAAGCCUGACGCAGCGACGCCGCGUGAGGGAUGAC
rnacentral:rRNA from 1 species